AGCGUACACGGUGGAUGCCCUGGCAGUCAGAGGCGAUGAAGGACGUGCUAAUCUGCGAUAAGCGUCGGUAAGGUGAUAUGAACCGUUAUAACCGGCGAUUUCCGAAUGGGGAAACCCAGUGUGAUUCGUCACACUAUCAUUAACUGAAUCCAUAGGUUAAUGAGGCGAACCGGGGGAACUGAAACAUCUAAGUACCCCGAGGAAAAGAAAUCAACCGAGAUUCCCCCAGUAGCGGCGAGCGAACGGGGAGGAGCCCAGAGCCUGAAUCAGUGUGUGUGUUAGUGGAAGCGUCUGGAAAGGCGCGCGAUACAGGGUGACAGCCCCGUACACAAAAAUGCACAUGCUGUGAGCUCGAUGAGUAGGGCGGGACACGUGGUAUCCUGUCUGAAUAUGGGGGGACCAUCCUCCAAGGCUAAAUACUCCUGACUGACCGAUAGUGAACCAGUACCGUGAGGGAAAGGCGAAAAGAACCCCGGCGAGGGGAGUGAAAAAGAACCUGAAACCGUGUACGUACAAGCAGUGGGAGCCUCUUUAUGGGGUGACUGCGUACCUUUUGUAUAAUGGGUCAGCGACUUAUAUUCUGUAGCAAGGUUAACCGAAUAGGGGAGCCGAAGGGAAACCGAGUCUUAACUGGGCGUUAAGUUGCAGGGUAUAGACCCGAAACCCGGUGAUCUAGCCAUGGGCAGGUUGAAGGUUGGGUAACACUAACUGGAGGACCGAACCGACUAAUGUUGAAAAAUUAGCGGAUGACUUGUGGCUGGGGGUGAAAGGCCAAUCAAACCGGGAGAUAGCUGGUUCUCCCCGAAAGCUAUUUAGGUAGCGCCUCGUGAAUUCAUCUCCGGGGGUAGAGCACUGUUUCGGCAAGGGGGUCAUCCCGACUUACCAACCCGAUGCAAACUGCGAAUACCGGAGAAUGUUAUCACGGGAGACACACGGCGGGUGCUAACGUCCGUCGUGAAGAGGGAAACAACCCAGACCGCCAGCUAAGGUCCCAAAGUCAUGGUUAAGUGGGAAACGAUGUGGGAAGGCCCAGACAGCCAGGAUGUUGGCUUAGAAGCAGCCAUCAUUUAAAGAAAGCGUAAUAGCUCACUGGUCGAGUCGGCCUGCGCGGAAGAUGUAACGGGGCUAAACCAUGCACCGAAGCUGCGGCAGCGACACUAUGUGUUGUUGGGUAGGGGAGCGUUCUGUAAGCCUGUGAAGGUGUGCUGUGAGGCAUGCUGGAGGUAUCAGAAGUGCGAAUGCUGACAUAAGUAACGAUAAAGCGGGUGAAAAGCCCGCUCGCCGGAAGACCAAGGGUUCCUGUCCAACGUUAAUCGGGGCAGGGUGAGUCGACCCCUAAGGCGAGGCCGAAAGGCGUAGUCGAUGGGAAACAGGUUAAUAUUCCUGUACUUGGUGUUACUGCGAAGGGGGGACGGAGAAGGCUAUGUUGGCCGGGCGACGGUUGUCCCGGUUUAAGCGUGUAGGCUGGUUUUCCAGGCAAAUCCGGAAAAUCAAGGCUGAGGCGUGAUGACGAGGCACUACGGUGCUGAAGCAACAAAUGCCCUGCUUCCAGGAAAAGCCUCUAAGCAUCAGGUAACAUCAAAUCGUACCCCAAACCGACACAGGUGGUCAGGUAGAGAAUACCAAGGCGCUUGAGAGAACUCGGGUGAAGGAACUAGGCAAAAUGGUGCCGUAACUUCGGGAGAAGGCACGCUGAUAUGUAGGUGAAGUCCCUCGCGGAUGGAGCUGAAAUCAGUCGAAGAUACCAGCUGGCUGCAACUGUUUAUUAAAAACACAGCACUGUGCAAACACGAAAGUGGACGUAUACGGUGUGACGCCUGCCCGGUGCCGGAAGGUUAAUUGAUGGGGUCAGCGCAAGCGAAGCUCUUGAUCGAAGCCCCGGUAAACGGCGGCCGUAACUAUAACGGUCCUAAGGUAGCGAAAUUCCUUGUCGGGUAAGUUCCGACCUGCACGAAUGGCGUAAUGAUGGCCAGGCUGUCUCCACCCGAGACUCAGUGAAAUUGAACUCGCUGUGAAGAUGCAGUGUACCCGCGGCAAGACGGAAAGACCCCGUGAACCUUUACUAUAGCUUGACACUGAACAUUGAGCCUUGAUGUGUAGGAUAGGUGGGAGGCUUUGAAGUGUGGACGCCAGUCUGCAUGGAGCCGACCUUGAAAUACCACCCUUUAAUGUUUGAUGUUCUAACGUUGACCCGUAAUCCGGGUUGCGGACAGUGUCUGGUGGGUAGUUUGACUGGGGCGGUCUCCUCCUAAAGAGUAACGGAGGAGCACGAAGGUUGGCUAAUCCUGGUCGGACAUCAGGAGGUUAGUGCAAUGGCAUAAGCCAGCUUGACUGCGAGCGUGACGGCGCGAGCAGGUGCGAAAGCAGGUCAUAGUGAUCCGGUGGUUCUGAAUGGAAGGGCCAUCGCUCAACGGAUAAAAGGUACUCCGGGGAUAACAGGCUGAUACCGCCCAAGAGUUCAUAUCGACGGCGGUGUUUGGCACCUCGAUGUCGGCUCAUCACAUCCUGGGGCUGAAGUAGGUCCCAAGGGUAUGGCUGUUCGCCAUUUAAAGUGGUACGCGAGCUGGGUUUAGAACGUCGUGAGACAGUUCGGUCCCUAUCUGCCGUGGGCGCUGGAGAACUGAGGGGGGCUGCUCCUAGUACGAGAGGACCGGAGUGGACGCAUCACUGGUGUUCGGGUUGUCAUGCCAAUGGCACUGCCCGGUAGCUAAAUGCGGAAGAGAUAAGUGCUGAAAGCAUCUAAGCACGAAACUUGCCCCGAGAUGAGUUCUCCCUGACUCCUUGA
rnacentral:rRNA from 1 species